rnacentral:rRNA from 1 species
AGAGCGAACGCUGGCGGCAGGCUUAACACAUGCAAGUCGAGCGGGCGUAGCAAUACGUCAGCGGCAGACGGGUGAGUAACGCGUGGGAACGUACCUUUUGGUUCGGAACAACACAGGGAAACUUGUGCUAAUACCGGAUAAGCCCUUACGGGGAAAGAUUUAUCGCCGAAAGAUCGGCCCGCGUCUGAUUAGCUAGUUGGUGAGGUAACGGCUCACCAAGGCGACGAUCAGUAGCUGGUCUGAGAGGAUGAUCAGCCACAUUGGGACUGAGACACGGCCCAAACUCCUACGGGAGGCAGCAGUGGGGAAUAUUGGACAAUGGGCGCAAGCCUGAUCCAGCCAUGCCGCGUGAGUGAUGAAGGCCCUAGGGUUGUAAAGCUCUUUGUGCGGGAAGAUAAUGACGGUACCGCAAGAAUAAGCCCGGCUAACUUCGCGCCAGCAGCCGC